AUUGAACGCUGGCGGCAGGCCUAACACAUGCAAGUCGGACGAGUGGCGGACGGGUUAGUAACGUCUUGGAAAGUGCCUUCUGGUGGUGGAUAACUGCUGGAAAUGGUAGCUAAUCCCUCAUACUAUCGGUGGUGCGCAGAUUGGAUUAGGUGGUGGGUGGGGUAUAGGCGCACCAAGGCGACGAUCCCUAGCUGGUCUGAGAGGAUGACCCGCCACACUGGGACUGAGACACGGUCCAGACUCCUACGGGAGGCAGCAGUGGGGAAUUUUGCACAAGGGGCGCAAGCCUGUUGCAGCCAUUCCGCGUGUAUGAAGAAGGCCUUCGGGUUGUAAAGUUCUGUCAGCGGAGAGGCGUUAAACACAGAAGAAGCACCGGCUAACUCCGUGCCAGCAGCCGCGGUAAUAC
rnacentral:rRNA from 1 species